rnacentral:rRNA from 1 species
GGGGAUGCGGGGACCUGAUCAGCCAUGCCGCGUGUGUGAAGAAGGCCUUUUGGUUGUAAAGCACUUUAAGCGAGGAGGAGGCUCUUCUAGUUAAUACCUAGGAUGAGUGGACGUUACUCGCAGAAUAAGCACCGGCUAACUCUGUGCCAGCAGCCGCGGUAAUACAGAGGGUGCGAGCGUUAAUCGGAUUUACUGGGCGUAAAGCGUACGUAGGCGGCUUUUUAAGUCGGAUGUGAAAUCCCUGAGCUUAACUUAGGAAUUGCAUUCGAUACUGGGAAGCUAGAGUAUGGGAGAGGAUGGUAGAAUUCCAGGUGUAGCGGUGAAAUGCGUAGAGAUCUGGAGGAAUACCGAUGGCGAAGGCAGCCAUCUGGCCUAAUACUGACGCUGAGGUACGAAAGCAUGGGGAGCAAACAGGAUUAGAUACCC